rnacentral:rRNA from 1 species
GACGAACGCUGGCGGCGUGCUUAACACAUGCAAGUCGAACGGAAAGACCCUGCUAUUGUGGGGUGCUCGAGUGGCGAACGGGUGAGUAACACGUGAGUAACCUGACCUUGACUUUGGGAUAGCUUCAGGAAAGUGGGGCUAAUACCGUAUAGGAUCUCCUGCUGCAUGGUGGGGGUUGGAAAGUUUCGGCGGUUGUGGAUGGACUCGCGGCUGAUCAGCUUGUUGGUUGGGUAGUGGCUUACCAAGCGUUUGACGGGUAGCCCGCCUGAGAGGGUGACCGGGCACCAUGCGACUGAGAUACGGACCAGAGUGGAACGGGGGGCAGCAGUGGGAAAUAUUGCCCAGUGGGCGGGAGUCUGUUGCGACAGCGCUGCGUUCGGGAUGACGGCCUUUGGGUUGUAAACAGCUUUAGCUUGUGACGACGCGUGUGUGACGGUACUGGGUAAAGAAGCACCGGCUAACUACGUG